CCUAGAGUUGUAGGCUUUGCCUGCUAUCUCUUACCCACUGUCUUUUGAGUACCUUCGUUUCCUCGGCGGGUCCGCCCGCCGAUUGGACAAUUUAAACCAUUUGCAGUUGCAAUCAGCGUCUGAAAAAACUUAAUAGUUA
rnacentral:misc_RNA from 1 species